rnacentral:rRNA from 1 species
UACGUAGGUGGCGAGCGUUGUCCGGAUUUAUUGGGUUUAAAGGGUGCGUAGGCGGCCCUAUAAGUCAGUGGUGAAAUAUCGCAGCUUAACUGUGAGGGUGCCAUUGAUACUGUAGGGCUUGAGUGAAUUUGAGGUAGGCGGAAUUGACGGUGUAGCGGUGAAAUGCUUAGAUAUCGUCAAGAGCACCGAUAGUGAAGACAGCUUACCAAGCUUCAACUGACGCUGAGGCACGAAAGUGUGGGGAUCAAACAGG